UUAAAUUGAAGAGUUUGAUCAUGGCUCAGAUUGAACGCUGGCGGCAGGCCUAACACAUGCAAGUCGAACGGUAACAGGAAACAGCUUGCUGUUUCGCUGACGAGUGGCGGACGGGUGAGUAAUGUCUGGGAAACUGCCUGAUGGAGGGGGAUAACUACUGGAAACGGUAGCUAAUACCGCAUAACGUCGCAAGACCAAAGAGGGGGACCUUCGGGCCUCUUGCCAUCGGAUGUGCCCAGAUGGGAUUAGCUAGUAGGUGGGGUAACGGCUCACCUAGGCGACGAUCCCUAGCUGGUCUGAGAGGAUGACCAGCCACACUGGAACUGAGACACGGUCCAGACUCCUACGGGAGGCAGCAGUGGGGAAUAUUGCACAAUGGGCGCAAGCCUGAUGCAGCCAUGCCGCGUGUAUGAAGAAGGCCUUCGGGUUGUAAAGUACUUUCAGCGGGGAGGAAGGGAGUAAAGUUAAUACCUUUGCUCAUUGACGUUACCCGCAGAAGAAGCACCGGCUAACUCCGUGCCAGCAGCCGCGGUAAUACGGAGGGUGCAAGCGUUAAUCGGAAUUACUGGGCGUAAAGCGCACGCAGGCGGUUUGUUAAGUCAGAUGUGAAAUCCCCGGGCUCAACCUGGGAACUGCAUCUGAUACUGGCAAGCUUGAGUCUCGUAGAGGGGGUAGAAUUCCAGGUGUAGCGGUGAAAUGCGUAGAGAUCUGGAGGAAUACCGGUGGCGAAGGCGGCCCCCUGGACGAAGACUGACGCUCAGGUGCGAAAGCGUGGGGAGCAAACAGGAUUAGAUACCCUGGUAGUCCACGCCGUAAACGAUGUCGACUUGGAGGUUGUGCCCUUGAGGCGUGGCUUCCGGAGCUAACGCGUUAAGUCGACCGCCUGGGGAGUACGGCCGCAAGGUUAAAACUCAAAUGAAUUGACGGGGGCCCGCACAAGCGGUGGAGCAUGUGGUUUAAUUCGAUGCAACGCGAAGAACCUUACCUGGUCUUGACAUCCACAGAACUUUCCAGAGAUGGAUUGGUGCCUUCGGGAACUGUGAGACAGGUGCUGCAUGGCUGUCGUCAGCUCGUGUUGUGAAAUGUUGGGUUAAGUCCCGCAACGAGCGCAACCCUUAUCCUUUGUUGCCAGCGGUCCGGCCGGGAACUCAAAGGAGACUGCCAGUGAUAAACUGGAGGAAGGUGGGGAUGACGUCAAGUCAUCAUGGCCCUUACGACCAGGGCUACACACGUGCUACAAUGGCGCAUACAAAGAGAAGCGACCUCGCGAGAGCAAGCGGACCUCAUAAAGUGCGUCGUAGUCCGGAUUGGAGUCUGCAACUCGACUCCAUGAAGUCGGAAUCGCUAGUAAUCGUGGAUCAGAAUGCCACGGUGAAUACGUUCCCGGGCCUUGUACACACCGCCCGUCACACCAUGGGAGUGGGUUGCAAAAGAAGUAGGUAGCUUAACCUUCGGGAGGGCGCUUACCACUUUGUGAUUCAUGACUGGGGUGAAGUCGUAACAAGGUAACCGUAGGGGAACCUGCGGUUGGAUCACCUCCUUACCUUAAAGAAGC
rnacentral:rRNA from 1 species